GUAAGAUAUUAAAGUUAAUUAGUAUAAAGUUAUACUAAAUACACUCGCCCUGGCUUCGAUACAUUUCGCGCCUUUAGCAAGCCUGGACAGCCCGCAUUUUUUUCUAAUUGGAAGAAAAAUCUUUGCCUUUGCCCCUCAGUGAAAAUUACCCGGAAAAGGCACUGAGUCCAGUCCUUAGGUGGGUAGCGUUUUCUCCAAAACAAUAAUCCCAAAUUAAAUGGAAAGCAAAACUGUCCAGAAACAGAGGUGCAGAAACAGGAUCAUCCCG
rnacentral:lncRNA from 1 species